AUUGAACGCUGGCGGCAGGCUUAACACAUGCAAGUCGAGCGGGGGAAGGUAGCUUGCUACCGGACCUAGCGGCGGACGGGUGAGUAAUGCUUAGGAAUCUGCCUAUUAGUGGGGGACAACAUCUCGAAAGGGAUGCUAAUACCGCAUACGUCCUACGGGAGAAAGCAGGGGAUCUUCGGACCUUGCGCUAAUAGAUGAGCCUAAGUCGGAUUAGCUAGUUGGUGGGGUAAAGGCCUACCAAGGCGACGAUCUGUAGCGGGUCUGAGAGGAUGAUCCGCCACACUGGGACUGAGACACGGCCCAGACUCCUACGGGAGGCAGCAGUGGGAAUAUUGGACAAUGGGGGGAACCCUGAUCCAGCCAUGCCGCGUGUGUGAAGAAGGCCUUAUGGUUGUAAAGCACUUUAAGCGAGGAGGAGGCUACUUUAGUUAAUACCUAGAGAUAGUGGACGUUACUCGCAGAAUAAGCACCGGCUAACUCUGUG
rnacentral:rRNA from 1 species